rnacentral:tRNA from 1 species
GGCAAGAUGGCCGAGCGGUCUAAGGCGCUGGUUUUAGGCACCAGUCUCUUCGGAGGCGUGGGUUCGAAUCCCACUCUGGUCA